AGAGUUUGAUCAUGGCUCAGGAUGAACGCUAGCGGCAGGCUUAACACAUGCAAGUCGAGGGGUAACGGGGAAGCUUGCUUCCGCCGACGACCGGCGCACGGGUGCGUAACGCGUAUACAAUCUACCUUGUACUGGGGUAUAGCCUUUAGAAAUGAAGAUUAAUCCCCCAUAGUCUCUUAGAGUGGCAUCACUUCUAGAGUAAAGGUUACGGUAUAAGAUGAGUAUGCGUUCUAUUAGUUUGUUGGUGUGGUAACGGCACACCAAGACUACGAUAGAUAGGGGCCCUGAGAGGGGGAUCCCCCACACUGGUACUGAGACACGGACCAGACUCCUACGGGAGGCAGCAGUGAGGAAUAUUGGACAAUGGAGGCAACUCUGAUCCAGCCAUGCCGCGUGCAGGAAGACUGCCCUAUGGGUUGUAAACUGCUUUUAUACAGGAAGAGACACCUCUACGUGUAGAGGCUUGACGGUACUGUAAGAAUAAGGAUCGGCUAACUCUGUGCCAGCCGCCGCGGUAAUUC
rnacentral:rRNA from 1 species